GCCAGUGUGGUGUAGUGGUUUGAGCAUUGGGCUGUGACCUUGGACAUCAGGGUUUGAUUCCCUGCUCAGCCG